UUACUCAAAUAUCAAAGGAAACAGCUCUAGCAAGGUGGUGGUUUUCUCAGGAUGAGUCUCCAUCCCUCAGCAUGUUCCCUGGGUGUGCUAACCCCUCGAUUUCCCUAAAUACUGGGAAUUCGACUGUAGCAUUUGUGGUAGCAAAAGACUGUAUUCAUGUUUUCUCUUG
rnacentral:snRNA from 13 species